rnacentral:rRNA from 1 species
GACGAACGCUGGCGGCGUGCUUAACACAUGCAAGUCGAACGGAAAGGCCCUGCUUUUGUGGGGUGCUCGAGUGGCGAACGGGUGAGUAACACGUGAGUAACCUGCCCUUGACUUUGGGAUAACUUCAGGAAACUGGGGCUAAUACCGGAUAGGAGCUCCUGCUGCAUGGUGGGGGUUGGAAAGUUUCGGCGGUUGGGGAUGGACUCGCGGCUUAUCAGCUUGUUGGUGGGGUAGUGGCUUACCAAGGCUUUGACGGGUAGCCGGCCUGAGAGGGUGACCGGCCACAUUGGGACUGAGAUACGGCCCAGACUCCUACGGGAGGCAGCAGUGGGGAAUAUUGCACAAUGGGCGGAAGCCUGAUGCAGCAACGCCGCGUGCGGGAUGACGGCCUUCGGGUUGUAAACCGCUUUCGCCUGUGACGAAGCGUGAGUGACGGUGAUGGGUAAAGAAGCACCGGCUAACUAC